UGGCGGCGUGCUAAUACAUGCAAGUCGAACGAACUCUGGUAUUGAUUGGUGCUUGCAUCAUGAUUUACAUUUGAGUGAGUGGCGAACUGGUGAGUAACACGUGGGAAACCUGCCCAGAAGCGGGGGAUAACACCUGGAAACAGAUGCUAAUACCGCAUAACAACUUGGACCGCAUGGUCCGAGUUUGAAAGAUGGCUUCGGCUAUCACUUUUGGAUGGUCCCGCGGCGUAUUAGCUAGAUGGUGGGGUAACGGCUCACCAUGGCAAUGAUACGUAGCCGACCUGAGAGGGUAAUCGGCCACAUUGGGACUGAGACACGGCCCAAACUCCUACGGGAGGCAGCAGUAGGGAAUCUUCCACAAUGGACGAAAGUCUGAUGGAGCAACGCCGCGUGAGUGAAGAAGGGUUUCGGCUCGUAAAACUCUGUUGUUAAAGAAGAACAUAUCUGAGAGUAACUGUUCAGGUAUUGACGGUAUUUAACCAGAAAGCCACGGCUAACUACGUGCCAGCAGCCGCGGUAAUACGUAGGUGGCAAGCGUUGUCCGGAUUUAUUGGGCGUAAAGCGAGCGCAGGCGGUUUUUUAAGUCUGAUGUGAAAGCCUUCGGCUCAACCGAAGAAGUGCAUCGGAAACUGGGAAACUUGAGUGCAGAAGAGGACAGUGGAACUCCAUGUGUAGCGGUGAAAUGCGUAGAUAUAUGGAAGAACACCAGUGGCGAAGGCGGCUGUCUGGUCUGUAACUGACGCUGAGGCUCGAAAGUAUGGGUAGCAAACAGGAUUAGAUACCCUGGUAGUCCAUACCGUAAACGAUGAAUGCUAAGUGUUGGAGGGUUUCCGCCCUUCAGUGCUGCAGCUAACGCAUUAAGCAUUCCGCCUGGGGAGUACGGCCGCAAGGCUGAAACUCAAAGGAAUUGACGGGGGCCCGCACAAGCGGUGGAGCAUGUGGUUUAAUUCGAAGCUACGCGAAGAACCUUACCAGGUCUUGACAUACUAUGCAAAUCUAAGAGAUUAGACGUUCCCUUCGGGGACAUGGAUACAGGUGGUGCAUGGUUGUCGUCAGCUCGUGUCGUGAGAUGUUGGGUUAAGUCCCGCAACGAGCGCAACCCUUAUUAUCAGUUGCCAGCAUUAAGUUGGGCACUCUGGUGAGACUGCCGGUGACAAACCGGAGGAAGGUGGGGAUGACGUCAAAUCAUCAUGCCCCUUAUGACCUGGGCUACACACGUGCUACAAUGGAUGGUACAACGAGUUGCGAACUCGCGAGAGUAAGCUAAUCUCUUAAAGCCAUUCUCAGUUCGGAUUGUAGGCUGCAACUCGCCUACAUGAAGUCGGAAUCGCUAGUAAUCGCGGAUCAGCAUGCCGCGGUGAAUACGUUCCCGGGCCUUGUACACACCGCCCGUCACACCAUGAGAGUUUGUAACACCCAAAGUCGGUGGGGUAACCUUUUAGGAACCAGCCGCCUAAG
rnacentral:rRNA from 1 species